rnacentral:rRNA from 1 species
AACGAACGCUGGCGGCGUGCUUAACACAUGCAAGUCGAACGGUAAGGCCCUUCGGGGUACACGAGUGGCGAACGGGUGAGUAACACGUGGGUGAUCUGCCCUGCACUUCGGGAUAAGCCUGGGAAACUGGGUCUAAUACCGGAUAGGACUCCUGGCUUCAUGGUUGGGGGUGGAAAGCUUUUGCGGUAUGGGAUGGGACCGCGGCCUAUCAGCGUGUUGGUGGGGUAAUGGCCUACCAAGGCGACGACGGGUAGCCGGCCUGAGAGGGUGACCGGGCACACUGGGACUGAGAUACGGCCCAGACUCCUACGGGAGGCAGCAGUGGGGAAUAUUGCACAAUGGGCGCAAGCCUGAUGCAGCGACGCCGCGUGAGGGAUGACGGCCUUCGGGUUGUAAACCUCUUUCAGCUAUGACGAAGCGCAAGUGACGGUAGUAGCGGAAGAAGGACCGGCCAACUACGUGCCAGCCGCCGCAGUAAAAC